rnacentral:rRNA from 1 species
GCAGUAGCCGCGGGAAUACAGAGGGUGCGAGCGUUAAUCGGAUUUACUGGGCGUAAAGCGUGCGUAGGCGGCUUUUUAAGUCGGAUGUGAAAUCCCUGAGCUUAACUUAGGAAUUGCAUUCGAUACUGGGAAGCUAGAGUAUGGGAGAGGAUGGUAGAAUUCCAGGUGUAGCGGUGAAAUGCGUAGAGAUCUGGAGGAAUACCGAUGGCGAAGGCAGCCAUCUGGCCUAAUACUGACGCUGAGGUACGAAAGCAUGGGGAGCAAACAGGAUUAGAUACCCGUGUAGUCCCUGUCUCUUAUAA